AGGUGAAAAGAAUCUGGUGAACAAUUAGUUAGUCUCUGCCACUGCAUCUUGUCGUGGGAUACUUCUUAGACAUCCAAGUGAAGGUGUGGCUGUGUGAGCUAUGGAAUGUAAACAAAAGUGAGUCAUGCUAUUUCCAGACCUGACCCAUGAGACUGCCUGUACUUGCCUCUCCCCCUUCUCUCAAGCUAGACGGUGAUGACCAGGGUAGCCUUGGAUGGCAGAGCAGCUGUCCACCUGGGACCCAGUGUGAUUAUAUGGGCGGGAGCUCCUUGCCAACCUGGGAUAUUACGUGAAUCUCCGGAAUGUUACCAGAUGGAUGUACCUACACUUCGUUUAACCAGACCCUUCUGGUGGACAAUUCAGCUGGUUCCAUUUUCCCCCCUCUACUAUGAAAAAGGCUGCAGUGAAUAUCUUUGAAGAGUUGAAGAGAUACUGUGGCAUAUUUUGCCAGAAUAUCCUUAGGGUAAAUCCCUAGCAGUGGGAUUGUUGGGUUAAUAAGUCUAUACAUUUUAUUUUAUUUUUCUAAUGAGAGAGAACUGCUCUUUUUGUUUUAAACUGAAGUAUUGUCAGUUUACAAUAUUGUGUCAAUUUCUGGUGUACAGCAUAAUGUUUUAGUUCUAUAUAUAUAUGUGUAUAUAUAUGUAUAUAUAUAUAUAUUCCUUUUCAUAUUCU